CACGUAGGCUCCAAGCGUUGUCCGGAUUUAUUGGGCGUAAAGAGCUCGUAGGCGGUUGAGUAAGUCGGGUGUGAAAACUCUGGGCUUAACCCGGAGACGCCAUCCGAUACUGCUCUGACUUGAGUUCAGGAGGGGAGUGGGGAAUUCCUAGUGUAGCGGUGAAAUGCGCAGAUAUUAGGAGGAACACCGGUGGCGAAGGCGCCACUCUGGACUGAAACUGACGCUGAGGAGCGAAAGCAUGGGUAGCAAACAGG
rnacentral:rRNA from 1 species